UACAGAGGUCCCGAGCGUGUUCGGAUUCACUGGGCGUAAAGGGUGCGUAGGUGGUGAGGUAAGUCGGAUGUGAAAUCUCCGGGCUCAACCCGGAAAUGGCAUUGGAAACUACCUUGCUGGAGGAUUGAGGGGGAUUGGAAUACUUGGUGUAGCAGUGAAAUGCGUAGAUAUCAAGGUGGAACACCAGUGGCGAAGGCGAAUCCCUGGAAAUACCUGAGCACUGAGGCACGAAAGCUAGGGGAGCAAACAGG
rnacentral:rRNA from 1 species